GCUCCUGGACAGCAGGCACCAUGCUGAAUUCCUCUCCAUGCCUUGCACAAGGUCAGACGGAGAGCUGGUGCUCCAUACAGGUUGGUGAAUGGAGACUGGAUUCAUUCAUUCAUUUGCAACUGCAAACAGGACGAGAGAUCAGACUUUCACAUGAAGCCAGCAACCGGAGACCUUGGGAAGAGCGCGCCACGACAGCCCUUCCUCUGCUCCAGCUAAGUGGAUGCAACGAGCGAUACGUGUUCAAUCUGAAAAGCCGCGUCCGGGAUGGGGAACCACUGUUUACCAGGCCCCAGAUGCUGGGCUAAGCUCUGGCCUUCACUAUCCUGUUUAAGCCUCACAACAAUCUUGUUGGUUGGACGGCAGGAGUUCAAAGUCAGUCUUAUGGGAAUAAAAUGAAGGUGUUGCAGAGCUGGCUCAUCCCGGAGGCGCCAGGGGAGAACCUGUUCUGGCCUCUUCCAGCUUCUAGAAGCGGCUCGCAUUCUGUGGCUGUGGCUGCAUCACUCCCGUCUCGACACCCGUCCCCACAUCGCCCUCCCCUCUGACCUCACUCCCCCUGUGUCCUCCUUGGAAUUACACUCAACCCACCAGGAUAAUCCAAGACCACCUGGGGCGAUGGAGGUGGAAACACCCAUUGUAAUGAUGGGAUUCAGGACACACUACCCCAAAAUAUGGCCCCUUGGCAUAGUGGCCAUCUUAAGCUGGAGGAGUUUGAGAAAAAAAACAGAAGCAGGAAGGUCCCUCUGACCUCCUCCCACUGCCCUCCUUCCCUGAAACAGACGCAAGACUCCAGUGUGUGAGGAUCCUCCCUGGACCGGAGGAAGGAAGACGUUCUCCCCUCCAGAGGCAGGGAAUUGGGGCCGAGAAAUCGGUAUGAACAGACCUUGUGAAGUUAACACUUAUCUUCUAGUUAUUUCUUCCUCAUUGACUACCUCCAGCCCAAACCUGCGUCUUGUCAGUUCUUCACCAGUUGACUAUCUCUUGGUCUACCAGGUAGAAAAGCUUCCUGCUCUGGCCACUCCUUCAGGUCUUCAUUCUCUUAGGAAGGCUCCCAUGUACGCGUGUAAAUUCAAUAUGAUUUGUCUGAUUUUCUCCUGUUGAUCUGACUUUGUCAGCAUAAUUUUCAGACCCAGCCAGGGACCCUGAGAGGGUCGAGGAUGACUUUCUCCUCCUCUCACAAGCACAGUCUGAUAAAGGUAACAGGUGGCCGGGCUCCUAACUUGUCAGGCCUGGGCCGUCUGAAGCAGGUCCCAGUGGGGUCUGAGGGUCAAAGACAAGGGACUCAGGCGUGUGCCAGCACAAAGCUUGGUGGAGACCGGCAGGACGGGGCCGACAGCUCGCAGGAGCCGCGGUGCUUCUCCACCCAUCCCUUCAGGUCGCAGAAGCCAAGAUGAAGGGACACGUGUGACAAGCAUUUCUUAAACCAGCCUGAGAGCUGAGGUGGCAGGGACCUUUUGUCAUUACCCUUGUGUCUGUGCCACCUCCUCCUUGAUCCAAUUUCCUCAGUAAAUCAGGAGCAAAAUCCCUGAAGUGACCUCAGGGGGUUUGUGAGGGACAGAUGAAGCAAAGUGACAGGGCUUUGAAAACAAAUUAAUA
rnacentral:lncRNA from 1 species